AUUGAACGCUGGCGGCAGGCCUAACACAUGCAAGUCGAGCGGAGGAAGGGAGCUUGCUCCUGGAUUCAGCGGCGGACGGGUGAGUAAUGCCUAGGAAUCUGCCUGGUAGUGGGGGAUAACGUCCGGAAACGGGCGCUAAUACCGCAUACGUCCUGCGGGAGAAAGUGGGGGAUCUUCGGACCUCACGCUAUCAGAUGAGCCUAGGUCGGAUUAGCUAGUUGGUGGGGUAAAGGCCUACCAAGGCGACGAUCCGUAACUGGUCUGAGAGGAUGAUCAGUCACACUGGAACUGAGAAACGGCCCAGACUCCUACGGGAGGCAGCAGGGGGGAAUAUUGGACAAUGGGCGAAAGCCUGAUCCAGCCAUGCCGCGUGUGUGAAGAAGGUCUUCGGAUUGUAAAGCACUUUAAGUUGGGAGGAAGGGCAGUAAGUUAAUACCUUGCUGUUUUGACGUUACCAACAGAAUAAGCACCGGCUAACUUCGUG
rnacentral:rRNA from 1 species